rnacentral:rRNA from 1 species
CAGUCGCCGCGGUAAAACGGAGGGGGCUAGCGUUGUUCGGAAUUACUGGGCGUAAAGCGCACGUAGGCGGCUGUGUAAGUCAGAAGUGAAAGCCCGGGGCUCAACCCCGGAAUGGCCUUUGAGACUGCAUAGCUUGAACACGGGAGAGGUGAGUGGAAUUCCGAGUGUAGAGGUGAAAUUCGUAGAUAUUCGGAAGAACACCAGUGGCGAAGGCGGCUCACUGGACCGUUGUUGACGCUGAGGUGCGAAAGCGUGGGGAGCAAACAGGAUUAGAUACCCCCGUAGUCCCUGUCUCUUAUAC